UACGUAGGCAGCAAACGUUGUUCGGAAUUAUUGGGCGUAAAGAGCUCGUAGGCGGUUUGUCGCGUCUGCCGUGAAAGUCCGGGGCUCAACUCCGGAUCUGCGGUGGGUACGGGCAGACUAGAGUGAUGUAGGGGAGACUGGAAUUCCUGGUGUAGCGGUGAAAUGCGCAGAUAUCAGGAGGAACACCGAUGGCGAAGGCGGGUCUCUGGGCCGAUACUGACGCUGAGGAGCGAAAGCGUGGGGAGCGAACGGG
rnacentral:rRNA from 1 species